rnacentral:tRNA from 1 species
AAGGCUUUAAGUUAAUAAAAACUUUUACCCUUCAAAGCUAAAUAUAAAGAGUUAUCUUUAAGUCUUA